rnacentral:rRNA from 1 species
UACGUAGGGUGCAAGCGUUAAUCGGAAUUACUGGGCGUAAAGCGUGCGCAGGCGGUUGUGCAAGACCCAUGGGAAAUCCCCGGGCUUAACCUGGGAAUGGCAUUGGUGACUGCACGGCUAGAGUGUGUCAGAGGGGGGUAGAAUUCCACGUGUAGCAGUGAAAUGCGUAGAGAUGUGGAGGAAUACCGAUGGCGAAGGCAGCCCCCUGGGAUAACACUGACGCUCAUGCACGAAAGCGUGGGGAGCAAACAGG